AGAGUUUGAUUCUGGCUCAGAACGAACGCUGGCGGCGUGGAUAAGACAUGCAAGUGGAACGCCAACUGGUGAGUAGCAAUACCUACCAGAAGGAGUCGCGUAAGGGUGCGUAACACGUGGGCAAUCUGCCCUAAAGUUCGGGACAACCUGCCGAAAGGUGAGCUAAUACCGAAUGUGAUCGUUUGCAGGCAUCUGCGAACGAUCAAAGCUGGGGAUCGUAAGACCUGGCGCUUUAGGAUGGGCCCGCGGCCUAUCAGCUAGUUGGUGAGGUGACGGCUCACCAAGGCUUAGACGGGUAGCCGGUCUGAGAGGACGAUCGGCCACACUGGAACUGAGACACGGUCCAGACACCUACGGGUGGCAGCAGUCGAGAAUCUUUCACAAUGGGCGCAAGCCUGAUGGAGCGACGCCGCGUGGGGGAUGAAGGGCUUCGGCUCGUAAACCCCUGUCAUCUGGGAGCAAACCUUGCCCGCGAAUACCGGGUAAGCUGAUAGUACCAGAGGAGGAAGGGACGGCUAACUCUGUGCCAGCAGCCGCGGUAAUACAGAGGUCCCAAGCGUUGUUCGGAUUCACUGGGCGUAAAGGGUGCGUAGGCGGUCGGCAAAGUCUGAUGUGAAAUCUCCGGGCUCAACCCGGAAACUGCAUCGGAUACUGGUCGGCUAGAGGAUUGGAGGGGGGACUGGAAUUCUCGGUGUAGCAGUGAAAUGCGUAGAUAUCGAGAGGAACACCAGUAGCGAAGGCGAGUCCCUGGACAAUUCCUGACGCUGAGGCACGAAAGCUAGGGGAGCAAACAGGAUUAGAUACCCUGGUAGUCCUAGCCGUAAAUGGUGCACGCUUGCUGUGGGCGGAAUCGACCCCGUCCGUGGCGUAGCUAACGCGUUAAGCGUGCCGCCUGGGAAGUACGGUCGCAAGAUUAAAACUCAAAGAAAUUGACGGGGGCCUGCACAAGCGGUGGAGUAUGUGGCUUAAUUCGAUACUACGCGAAGAACCUUACCUGGCCUUGACAUGCUUGGUCAUAUCCUGCUGAAAGGCGGGAGUCAGUUCGGCUGGACCUUGCACAGGUGCUGCAUGGCUGUCGUCAGCUCGUGUCGUGAGAUGUUAGGUUAAGUCCCGCAACGAGCGCAACCCCUGUGAACUGUUGCCACCCGGUCGUAAGACCGGAGCACUCUGUUCAGGCUGCCUCGCUUCAACGAGGAGGAAGGUGGGGAUGACGUCAAGUCAGUAUGGCCCUUACGGCCAGGGCUGCACACGUACUACAAUGCCCGAUACAGAGGGACGCAAGACCGCAAGGUGGAGCAAAUCCUUAAAGUCGGGCCCAGUUCGGAUUGCCGUCUGCAACUCGACGGGCAUGAAGCCGGAAUCGCUAGUAAUGGCGCAUCAGCUACGGCGCCGUGAAUACGUUCCCAGGCCUUGUACACACCGCCCGUCACAUCAUGAAAGCCGGCUGUACCCGAAGUCGCCCGUUAAAAGGUGCCGAAGGUAUGGCUGGUGAUUGGGAUGAAGUCGUAACAAGGUA
rnacentral:rRNA from 1 species